GACGAACGCUGGCGGCGUGCCUAAUACAUACAAGUAGAACGCUGAAGCUUGGUGCUUGCACCGAGCGGAUGAGUUGCGAACGGGUGAGUAACGCGUAGGUAACCUGCCUGGUAGCGGGGGAUAACUAUUGGAAACGAUAGCUAAUACCGCAUAACAGUAGAUAUCGCAUGAUAGCUACUUGAAAGGUGCAAAUGCACCACUACCAGAUGGACCUGCGUUGUAUUAGCUAGUUGGUGAGGUAACGGCUCACCUAGGCAACGAUACAUAGCCGACCUGAGAGGGUGAUCGGCCACACUGGGACUGAGACACGGCCCAGACUCCUACGGGAGGCAGCAGUAGGGAAUCUUCGGCAAUGGACGGAAGUCUGACCGAGCAACGCCGCGUGAGUGAAGAAGGUUUUCGGAUCGUAAAGCUCUGUUGUAAGAGAAGAACGAGUGUGAGAGUGGAAAGUUCACACUGUGACGGUAGCUUACCAGAAAGGGACGGCUAACUACGUG
rnacentral:rRNA from 1 species